rnacentral:lncRNA from 1 species
AGGUUCCCACCUCUCAAGAUCAUUAGGAGCUUCUUUUCCAAUUUCUCUGUUUUGCAUGCAUUGGAAGAUACCCCAUCAGCCUGAGUCUCUUAAAGGCCUUUAUACGCAUAUGUCUACACAUAGGGAUUUGGAUUAUCUCGGGAUCCCACAUCCUCGCUGUCCCCUGUCCCCCCGCAACAUCCCCCACCAAUACCUUUCUGAAGUUUUCUAGUCCCUCCUUUUUGUUUGUGCUCCUUAAAGCCCAGCCCCAUGCCUGA